GCCAUCAGGACGAUCAAAUCCCUACAGACUGCGUCGGAACGGAGAGCGGUUGCUAACAAAGCACUAAGGCAAGACGCAAAGUUCCAGAGGCUUCGGGGGAAAAUGACACACCCAGAAGAGCAGCUGCGGUUGGAACUGUCACCUGUUUAAGUGAACAUUCGUCCAUCGCCAUCUGCCAUAACCCCUCUAGGUCGUGUGGAUGGCAGACAGGUGAGUAGAAUUAAUAUUUUGG
rnacentral:lncRNA from 1 species